rnacentral:rRNA from 1 species
UGGUCGGUGUACAGGUGGUGCAUGGUUGUCGUCAGCUCGUGUCGUGAGAUGUUGGGUUAAGUCCCGCAACGAGCGCAACCCUCGUCCUAUGUUGCCAGCGGGUCAUGCCGGGGAUUCAUGGGAGACUGCCGGGGUCAACUCGGAGGAAGUGGGAUGACGUCAAUCAUCCAUCGCCCUUAUGUCUUGGGCUUCACGCAUGCUACAAUGGCCGGUACAAAGGGCUGCGAUACCGCGAGGUGGAGCGAAUCCCAGAAAGCCGGUCUCAGUUCGGAUUGGGGUCUGCAACUCGACCCCAUGAAGUCGGAGUCGCUAGUAAUCGCAGAUCAGCAACGCUGCGGUGAAUACGUUCCCGGGCCUU